AAACUUUCUAUAUUUAGAUUGUUAAGUUCAUUAUCUUUGUGCAUUCUUCACCUACAUUGUCAACGAUAAAUUCGGGAUUGAACUUGGAAAUGCAGUUUGUCAUCGUCCUCGCUUACAUUACAUAUAACAUCCUUGCACUAGAUGUAGAUGGAAUGUUACAGGAACGUUCUCAUUUGUCAGAGAGAUUUUUGGUUGACAUUUUCAUUCCGUCUAAAUUAAAAAAAGAGGAAUGUAUGUUAUGUAAGUGUUACAAGGAAUGUCAUGCUAGCCAGUACGUGAUAUUCGACGAGAAUUCCAUAUGUAAACCGUAUUGGGACUCCAUAUCGUGUCAAGGUA